ACUAUUUUGGCAGAAAAAUUGUAUUAAAUUUAGAAUUUAAUUAUAUAAAUUGAUAAUUUAUAGAUAGUA
rnacentral:tRNA from 1 species